CCCAGUCAGGCGGGCCAAGGGACCAUUGAUCUGAGUCCAGUGAAAAAGUGGCUUCUCGAGCGCCCUGGAUCCAGGCCCACUUCUAGACAACUUCUUCUUUCAACUCUCUUUCAUGUGUUUUCACUUCACAAACAUGCCAGUUCCCAGCUGCCCCUGAGAGACCACGGUGAUGCUGAAAUCCUGAAAGACAGCAGGGAGGUCGGUUCUGCUUCAAAAGCUGGUGUGAAGGAAAGGGAGAGAAGAAAACAUGGAGUGAGGAGAGUAGGUUUGGAGUCCCCGGACCUUGCAGCCUGGCUUGAAAAAGAAAUAUAUGGAUGUUCCGAAAAGAAACAGCAUAUUCCUGACCCCAACUACUUGUCAUUGGCCUGUUCCUGAAGGAUUCUGAGCUUGGAAAGCCCAAAGAGGUUUUGGGCACGCUUCUUUCACCCGAAGCGUGGUUAAGCUGUAAUCUGCUGGGGAAAAUAGGAAUGCAGAAGAGGAAGGGAAGACUAAAGGGUUUCAAGUAGGGCUGAUCUGUGGCAAGCAGCGGAGGGGAAAGGGCUGGGACCACCCCCAGGGGCAUUUGGAGUUGUAGGGGAUGGCUGUGGUUAUCUCCAUGACUGUGGUUGCUACAAACGAGUAGUGUCUUGAGGCCAAGGAUGCUAAAUCUUCUGCCCUACACCAGAGGGUCCUGCUCAAUAAAGAAUUGU